UAAAAAAGACAGUUAAAGACUUCAGACUACGAUGGAAAACAGUUGUAGCAUUUGUUCAGAUGAAAUCCCUCGUGCAAGAAUUUUUAUGCAACGUGACCGUUAAAAAAGACAGUUAAAGACUUCAGACUACGAUGGAAAACAGUUCGAGCAUUUGUUCAGAUGAAAUCCCUCGAGGAAGAAUUUUUAUGCAACAUGACCGUUAAAAGAGACAGUUAAAGACUUCACACUACGAUGGAAAAUAGUUCGAGCAUUUUCGCACAUUAUGGCGGAUAUACAUGGGCGAAUUUUCGCUAACCACCCAGCAUUUGUAAACUUGAACUCAAUAUUGAGAAUUAGACAAAA